rnacentral:lncRNA from 1 species
AAAAGAAAAAAAAAGAAGCCAGACAUUUUUUUCUUUUGUUUCAACUUGAUUAAUUGAAUAAUCUUCCCUGUACUAAAUAGCCACCUUUAUCAUAUUCCAAAUUCUUUUGUUUUAAAAUAUAUUUCUCUACCUACUAUUAAACUUAGUCUAUUCAUUCAUAAGUCAUUAUCACAAUGUGAAGUUACUAUUGCUUUAUACUAUAUCUUAAUCUUAUUUAUUUCAGAAUUGCCUUAUAAACUUAUGAUAGACUUGAAAUAGUCCCUAUUAAGGAAUAAAUUUCAUCUUGUUUAUUUCAAUCUGUGAAAAUAUUUUUGAAUCUUAAUUCUGAGAUUAAACCGCUCUCUCUCUUUUUGUACAAUCAUAUUUGAUAACCAUGCCUAUAGCUCUUAAUCCAAUAUAAAAUUUUCAACCGAAAAGGGCUAGAAAUAGAGUCCUAUAGCAUUAUCCUAGAGCCUUAUUACUCUAAGUGUGGCCUAUGGACCAACCCCAUUAUUAUUUUGGGGAACUUAUUAUAAAUUCUGAGUCUCAGGCCCUAACCCAGACUUACUAAUUAAAAAGCUGAAUUUUUUGGUCACUCCUGCAGCAUGUGGAAGUUCCCAGGCAAAGGAUUGAACUUGCGCCACAGCAGCCACCUGAGCUUCUUCAGUGACAAUGCUGGAUCCUUACCCUGCUACGCUGCAAGGGAACCUCUAAAAAUCUGCAUUUUAUCAAGAUUCCCCAAAUGAUUUGUACACAUGUUAAAAGUUUGAGUGCAGUAUACAAUAGAGAUUUCCCUGUAGGAUAAUAAUUCACAACUUUCACUGCACAUUAAAUUCACCUGGGAGAGCUUUUAAAAAAUAUUGAGGCUUGGCCUGCACUCCUAGAGAUUGAUUUAAUUGGUCUGGGGUUAGGACCCUUGGCAUUGAUAUUUUUAAAAAUCCCUAAUUGCAGCCAGGGUUGAGAAACAGUGCUCUAGAAUUACAGCUUGCCAUUGUUAGGGUCCCGGUUACUUAAAAACCAGAAAGUAUGCCUUUAUCAUCUGUCAGGACAUCAUUAGGAAAAAAGCUAUGAUCCAAAAGCGUUAUCCAUGCAACUCGCAGCCCCAGAACUUAGCUGUUAUGCCCCGUCUGGCUUGGCUUUUCCCCUCACCAUUUCUUUGAUUUCCUUGAUAAAUGACUCUUGCUUCCUUCUCUCUUUAUCUUUCUGUUCUGACACCCAAUAAAGGUUUCUGACUUAUCUGCCUAUUCUAAUAAGCAGCCACAGAUUGAUUCCUGCCUGUGUUUCUGUCCUACUGCCUUAAAUAUUCCUUUUCAUGAAUCUGAUAUAAUUUUUAUCCUUGCCUGUGGGUUCCAGAUGUAGUUUAAGAAAUUUGAAUUCCUUGUACAGUUAAAUUCCAUACUCAUGAAUAGCUAUUAUAAUGGUCAACUCAUCUUACUGUUCAGCCAUGGUCAUUAGCAAAGGAUUCCCCUGAUGUACUAACCCAGUAACUUAAGCUAAAGUGGAAAGGGGGUUCGUUUUGAAUGACAUUCUGAGGGAAUAUAUUUCAGCUUACUGUGUUAAGUAUACUUACUAUGUUUAGUAUAAACUGCUGUAGAAUGUUGCAGGCUAUCAGAAUCAAGCUUUCCCCCGAGUAAUUAUUGAAAAACAUACUAUUGAAAUUUGGAAAGAUAUCAGUCUACACUUUUCCAGAAACCUACUCACCCCUCUCCCUUUUUAAAACAUUAUUUCUCAGAGGUUGCUAAUACUGACACUGCAAUCAAUAGGCACAUUCUUUCAGCAUCUGAACAUAUAAUUCUCAGGAGUCUUGGAGUCAUGACUUCUGUUAGAGUGCUUAAUUCUCAUUUCUUCACGUAUUUUAAGCUUCUGGUCUGCCUUUAGGUUUGUUCACUUAAGAUACAUGAGUGAAGCACCAUAAUGUGCUGAACUUAGAGUUGAAUAAUCAGGAGGUUUAGUCUCCAUUUGGAGUUGGUGAUAUGUGUGUCCCCAACCAGUACACACUCUGGUGUGAAUGACUGGAUGGGGUAGAUGAAAUUAUAUGUGUGGAAGCAGCUGAUCUUAAAGUUCUGAAUUUUUGAUACUGAUAUUAUGGAUUUGCAGAUUGUGUGUGUGUGUGUGUGUGUGUGUGUGUGUGUGUGUGUGUGUCUAUUUAGGGCGGCACCCACAGAAUAUGGAGGUUCCCAGGCUAGGGGGCAAAUCAGAGCUGUAGCUGCUGGUCUACACCACGGCCCUAGCAACGCAUAAUUGGAGCCUCAUCUGUGAUCUACACCAAAGCUCACGGUGACUCUGGAUCCUUAACCCACUGAGCGAGGCCAGGGAGCAAACCUGAAUCCUUAGGGGUGCUAGUCAGAUUUAUGCUGAGCCACAGCGGGAACUCCAAAUUUGCAAAUUUUUAAAGUUUGCCCUUGAGGUGUAGAUAAUGCUCAGAGUUUUAUCUUGACCUGUUUCCAAGUACUGUUUUGAUGUGUGUGUGUGUGUGUGUGUGUGUGUGUGUGUGUGUGUUUGCCAUUUCUAGGGCCGCUCCUGCAGCAAAUGGAGGUUCCCAGGCUAGGGGUCUAAUCAGAGCUGUAGCCUCUGGCCUACACCAGAGCCACAGCAACGUGGGAUCCAAGCCACGUCUGCAACCUACACCACAGCUCAUGGCAACACCAGAUCCUUAACCCACUGAGCAAGGCCAGGGAUUGAACCCGCAACCUCAUGGUUCCUAGUCAGAUUCAUUAACCACUGAGGCAUGACAGGAACUCCUGAUUUUCUUUUCAGCUUGAAAAUAUUUCUUUUUGUUUAAAAAGAUGGAGGCAAUAUAAUAAAAAGUAGCCCGAUUCUCUUUUUUUCAGCUACUAAAAUCAUACAAUUUCCCUCAAGCAAUAGGCCUAUUUCUUCUUUGAAGUAUUUCUCCCCAUAUACUUUUUUUUUCUUUUUGGCUGCACCCAUGGCAUGUGGAAGUUCCUGGGCCAGGGAUAGAAUCUGAGCCACAGCUGUGACCUACACCACAGCUUUGGCAACACUAGAUCCUUAACCUGCUGCACCACAGCAGGAACUCCUCUUCCUACAAACUUCUGAAGAGACUCUACAGGUGAAAGAAAGUUAAAGAAAAAAAUCAAGAAAGAAAUUUAGCAUCUUUGGUUUUUGUGGCAUACAGUUAGAGUGCUAAAGGCAGAUUUGGCUCAGCAAAUAUUUACCAACAAGUCAUUUGUAACAUAUUUUACGAUCUUCCUUAAAAUCUGCCUUGGAGUUCUCUUUGUGGCACAGCAGAAACGAUCUGACUAGGAACCAUGAGGUUGUGGUUUCAAUCCUGGGCCUCGCUCAAUGGGUUGAUCCGGCUUUGCCGUGAGCUGUGGUGUAGGUCGAAGACACAGCUCAGAUCCCGAGUUGCUGUGGCUGUGGUGUAGGCCGGCAGCUACAGCUCUGAUUGGACCCCUAGCCUGGGAACUUCCAUAAGGCUAAGGGAGCGGCCCUAAGAAGCGGAAAAAAAGAAGAAAAAAAAAAAAAAGCCUUUUCCAACUUCAGAAUAGUGGCAGAAUAGUCGGGAGGGGAGAGAAUUAAUAAUGAUGACUGAAUAGUAUUUUACUCUUUGCCAGGCACCUGUUUUAUUUGAUCCUCAGAACAACCCUCUGGGGAAGGCACUAACUUCCAUUACAGAUCAGGAAAACAGGCAGAAGAUCAGGCAAUAAACACUAACACACAUUGUUUAGUUGCAUCUAUUAAAGUGCCAGAGUUAGGGAAUUCCCAUUGUGGCGCAGUGGAAACAAAUCCAGCUAGUAUCCAUGAGCAUGUGGGUUCAUCCCUGGCCUCGAACAGUGGGUUGGGGAUCCGGCGUUGCCGUGACCUGUGGUGUAGGUCACAGACACGGCUUGGAUCCCGUGUUGCUGUGGCUGUGGUGUGAGCCAGCAGCUGCUACAGGUGUGGCCCUAAAAU